ACUAAAUGUCUUAAAAAUGGAUAAUCCAUGACUACAAAUUCUCAUGCUAGAAAUGAAAUAUGCUUAACUAAAAAGUCUUAGAAAAUAUACUUAUAGCAAAUAUAUGGAAAAGAAGUAGGUAAUGCAAAAUGAAAGAUAACACAUGAUUGAAGAGCAUGAUGGGACAAGACUCAGCAAACAUAACACCACUCAAAAGAGUUAUUUAUGAUCCAGCAUUCAUUGUUGUUGCAAUACAUUACAUACCAUCAGAUACAUAUAUUAACAAGAUUCUUCCAUAUCUUCUUCAUACAUUUUUAACUCAUAGUUUCGAAACAGGCAAUCCUGAAAACCCCAAAGAAUAUACAUUAGUUUUUGAAAUAAUCUAAUGCCUGAGUAUGAUGUGCAUUACCUAAAGCUUUUGAGUUGACAAUGCUUGGGCUAGCAUUGGGUGGUGACGCGUUUUCGUUCAAGAACGGGUCGACCCGGUUAGGGUCACUCCAUAUUGGAUAUCCUUUGAUCCUUCCCUGUU